UGUUUUGCGGAGAAAAGAAGAAACCUCACAACUUCGUAAAAGUUGUAAAGCCCGACACUUCACCUAAUUCAGAAUGGAUCUUUACUCUGUCUCACCAUGAGGAGGAAGAUGGCCCGGGAGCCCCAGGCAGGGAAGGAGCUGAGCAUGGAGACCAGGGAGGACAAAUGCCCACAGCAGAACGUCGUGGAAGAGGCUGUUUUGAGUGUCUCCACAGCACAGGAAUCCAAUGGGGAGGAAAAGCCCCAGAGAUCCCCACCC